rnacentral:tRNA from 5 species
GGGUCUUUAGCUCAGUUGGUUAGAGCAUCCGGCUCAUAACCGGACGGUCCCGGGUUCAAGUCCCUGAAGACCCA